rnacentral:lncRNA from 1 species
UCCUGUUUGGGAAAUGCAAACCAUCCAUACGGCAGGGGCACAAUUAUAAAGAUUGAUCCUGUCACGGGAAUGGUUUCAAAUCUGACCAACCUCAUGGCAUACAUUGGGGAAGCAAUUGUGAAACCCCUUGAUUCUUUGGAUCUGGACAUGCUGUACUGUGACAAUGGUUUGUGUGUGACAGAAAAUGUAGCUGUGUCUACCGGGAAAGACUGGGGAAAUUUCUUCCUGUGGAGUUCUUUAUAAAGCAAAAGUGCAUGAAACUGUCAGUAAUAUUGUAGUCUAUAAAGGGA